ACGAACGAAGAAGCUCUUGCGAAUGUGCCAGAGUUGGUGACACCAGCUACUUGGGUGAAGUUAUGCGCUCGAUGGUCAAGCGCGGAAUUUAGGAUGAUAUCUGAGAAAAAUAAAAGUAAUAGAGUGAAGCAACAAACAAACCACACGGCUGGACGAACCUCCUUCGUAAGACUAAUGCAAAUGAGGGUACGAAUUUUAUUCA